rnacentral:rRNA from 1 species
AACGAACGCUGGCGGCAUGCCUAACACAUGCAAGUCGAACGAGACCUUCGGGUCUAGUGGCGCACGGGUGCGUAACGCGUGGGAACCUGCCUUUAGGUUCGGAAUAACUCAGAGAAAUUUGAGCUAAUACCGGAUGAUGUCUUCGGACCAAAGAUUUAUCGCCUUUAGAUGGGCCCGCGUUGGAUUAGCUAGUUGGUGGGGUAAAGGCCUACCAAGGCGACGAUCCAUAGCUGGUCUGAGAGGAUGAUCAGCCACACUGGGACUGAGACACGGCCCAGACUCCUACGGGAGGCAGCAGUGGGGAAUAUUGGACAAUGGGCGAAAGCCUGAUCCAGCAAUGACGCGUGAGUGAUGAAGGCCUUAGGGUUGUAAAGCUCUUUUAACCGAGAUGAUAAUGACAGUAUCGGGAGAAUAAGCUCCGGCUAACUCCGUG